rnacentral:rRNA from 1 species
GACGAACGCUGGCGGCGUGCCUAAUACAUGCAAGUAGAACGCUGAAGCUUGGUGCUUGCACCGAGCGGAUGAGUUGCGAACGGGUGAGAAACGCGUAGGUAACCUGCCUGGUAGCGGGGGAUAACUAUUGGAAACGAUAGCUAAUACCGCAUAACAGUAGAUAUCGCAUGAUAGCUACUUGAAAGGUGCAAAUGCACCACUACCAGAUGGACCUGCGUUGUAUUAGCUAGUUGGUGAGGUAACGGCUCACCAAGGCAACGAUACAUAGCCGACCUGAGAGGGUGAUCGGCCACACUGGGACUGAGACACGGCCCAGACUCCUACGGGAGGCAGCAGUAGGGAAUCUUCGGCAAUGGACGGAAGUCUGACCGAGCAACGCCGCGUGAGUGAAGAAGGUUUUCGGAUCGUAAAGCUCUGUUGUAAGAGAAGAACGAGUGUGAGAGUGGAAAGUUCACACUGUGACGGUAUCUUACCAGAAAGGGACGGCUAACUACGUG